rnacentral:rRNA from 1 species
ACGGAGCUUGCUCUGUGGGAUCAGUGGCGAACGGGUGAGUAACACGUGAGCAACCUGCCCCUGACUCUGGGAUAAGCGCUGGAAACGGCGUCUAAUACUGGAUAUGUGACGUGACCGCAUGGUCUGCGUCUGGAAAGAAUUUCGGUUGGGGAUGGGCUCGCGGCCUAUCAGCUUGUUGGUGAGGUAAUGGCUCACCAAGGCGUCGACGGGUAGCCGGCCUGAGAGGGUGACCGGCCACACUGGGACUGAGACACGGCCCAGACUCCUACGGGAGGCAGCAGUGGGGAAUAUUGCACAAUGGGCGCAAGCCUGAUGCAGCAACGCCGCGUGAGGGACGACGGCCUUCGGGUUGUAAACCUCUUUUAACAAGGAAGAAGCGAAAGUGACGGUACCUGCAGAAAAAGCGCCGGCUAACUACGUGCCAGCAGCCGCGGUAAUACGUAGGGCGCAAGCGUUAUCCGGAAUUAUUGGGCGUAAAGAGCUCGUANGCGGUUUGUCGCGUCUGCUGUGAAAUCCGGAGGCUCAACCUCCGGCCUGCAGUGGGUACGGGCAGACUAGAGUGCGGUAGGGGAGAUUGGAAUUCCUGGUGUAGCGGUGGAAUGCGCAGAUAUCAAGAGGAACACCGAUGGCGAANGCAGAUCUCUGGGCCGUAACUGACGCUGAGGAGCGAAAGGGU